rnacentral:rRNA from 1 species
ACUCAAAGGAAUUGACGGGGGCCCGCACAAGCGGAGGAACAUGUGGUUUAAUUCGAUGAUACGCGAGGAACCUUACCCGGGCUCGAACGGCAGAGGAAUAUAUAAGAGAUUAUAUAGCCAUUACGGUCUUUGUCGAGGUGCUGCAUGGUUGUCGUCAGCUCGUGCCGUGAGGUGUCGGCUUAAGUGCCAUAACGAGCGCAACCCUUGUUGUCAGUUGCCAUCAGGUAAAGCUGGGGACUCUGGCAAGACUGCCACCGUAAGGUGUGAGGAAGGGGGGGAUGACGUCAAAUCAGCACGGCCCUUACGUCCGGGGCGACACACGUGUUACAAUGGGUGGUACAGAGGGGCGCUACACAGUGAUGUGAUGCCAAUCUCAAAAGCCACUCUCAGUUCGGAUUGGAGUCUGCAACCCGACUCCAUGAAGUUGGAUUCGCUAGUAAUCGCGCAUCAGCCAUGGCGCGGUGAAUACGUUCCCGGGCCUUGUACACACCGCCCGU